CCUACGGGGGGCUGCAGUCGAGAAUCUUUCACAAUGGGGGCAACCCUGAUGGAGCGACGCCGCGUGGAGGAUAAGGUCUUCGGAUUGUAAACUCCUGUCAUGUGUGAACAAGGUUGUCGUGUUAAUAGCAUGGCAAAUUGAUGGUAACACAAGAGGAAGAGACGGCUAACUCUGUGCCAGCAGCCGCGGUAAUACAGAGGUCUCAAGCGUUGUUCGGAAUCACUGGGCGUAAAGGGUGCGUAGGUGGCGUGGAAAGUCAGAUGUGAAAGCCCGGGGCUCAACCUCGGAAUUGCAUCCGAUACUACCAUGCUAGAGUACUGAAGAGGUGACUAGAAUUCUCGGUGUAGCAGUGAAAUGCGUAGAUAUCGAGAGGAAUACCAACGGCGAAGGCAGGUCACUGGGCAGUUACUGACACUGAGGCACGAAAGCCAGGGGAGCAAACGGGCUUAGAUACCCCGGUAGUC
rnacentral:rRNA from 1 species